rnacentral:rRNA from 1 species
UAAAAAUGUAAAUUUUAAAAGUCAAGGUAGUAAUAGUUAUGUUCUUGAAAUUUAAAAAAUUUGGCGGUAUUUUAGUCUUUUUAGAGGAACCUGUUCUAUAAUUGAUAGUCCACGAUUAAUCUAACUUAAUUUAAUUAAUUUGUAUAUCGUCGUUUUUAGGUAUUUCAUAAGAAUUAAAAUAUUUAAUAAUUAAGAUAAAAAUAUAUUUCAGAUCAAGGUGCAGUUUAUAGUUAAGAAGAAAUGGGUUACAAUAAAUUUAUUUAAAUGGAUUUAUAAAUUAAAUUUUGUAAUGAAGGUGGAUUUAAUAGUAAUAAAAUAAAUUUUAUUUUUAUGAUUUAAGCUCUAAAAUAUGC